rnacentral:rRNA from 1 species
CUAGCCGUAAACGUUGGAUACUGGGUAAUGGUGGUCAAGGCCAUCAGUGCCGAAGCAAACGCGUUAAGUAUCCCGCCUGGGGACUACGACCGCAAGGUUAAAACUCAAAGGAAUUGACGGGGACCCGCACAAGCAGCGGAGCGUGUGGUUUAAUUCGAUGCUACACGAAGAACCUUACCUGGGCUUGACAUGCACGUCGUAGGGGACCGAAAGGCGACCGAUCCUUCGGGAAGCGUGCACAGGUGC